rnacentral:rRNA from 1 species
UACACUCCUACGGGAGGCAGCAGUGGGGAAUAUCGCACAAUGGGCGCAAGCCUGAUGCAGCCAUGCCGCGUGUAUGAAGAAGGCCUUCGGGUUGUAAAGUACUUUCAGCGGGGAGGAAGGCGAUAAGGUUAAUAACCUUGUCGAUUGACGUUACCCGCAGAAGAAGCACCGGCUAACUCCGUGCCAGCAGCCGCGGUAAUACGGAGGGUGCAAGCGUUAAUCGGAAUUACUGGGCGUAAAGCGCACGCAGGCGGUCUGUCAAGUCGGAUGUGAAAUCCCCGGGCUCAACCUGGGAACUGCAUUCGAAACUGGCAGGCUAGAGUCUUGUAGAGGGGGGUAGAAUUCCAGGUGUAGCGGUGAAAUGCGUAGAGAUCUGGAGGAAUACCGGUGGCGAAGGCGGCCCCCUGGACAAAGACUGACGCUCAGGUGCGAAAGCGUGGGGAGCAAACAGGAUUAGAAACCCGUGUAGUCCCA